UACGAGGGGGGGCGAGCGUUGUUCGGAAUUAUUGGGCGUAAAGGGUGCGUAGGCGGUUCGGUAAGUCUCAUGUGAAAUCUACAGGCUCAACUUGUAGUCUGCAUGAGAAACUGCCGGGCUUGAGUAUGGGAGAGGUGAGUGGAAUUCCCUGGUGUAGCGGUGAAAUGCGUAGAUAUCAGGAGGAACACCUGUGGCGAAAGCGGCUCACUGGACCAUAACUGACGCUGAUGCACGAAAGCUAGGGGAGCAAACAGG
rnacentral:rRNA from 1 species